rnacentral:lncRNA from 1 species
AAAAAGAAAGAGAAUUAAGAAAACAGAAGAGAGAAACCACAUCUUCCAUUAACCUAUUAUUCUAGAGGGACUUGAACGGUGGAUUUGCGAUCGUGCUCGUUUGUAGUUCGAUCCACCGCGAGUUCGGAGCGUUAGAAGACCUUAAAGGACGAUCCAAGGACAUGUGAAUCAACCUCUACGAUCCGGGCUCAUUGCGUUGUAGCACGAAUCGCUUCCGCAAAAAGGUAUGAACGAAUACUUCCGUUGCGUUCUACAAAGCUAAAUCUGUUAACAUGCGGAGGUGUAGGUUUAAUUCGUUUUCUCCUAAGUCAAAUAUCAGUUCAACAUAUAUAACUUAUCUAAAAUUCUUAGAUUAUGCUCCAAAUUUAGAUUUCAUAUAAACAUACAAAUCCAUGAAUUCGAGCUACUAAACAUGAUGAUCGAACAAGAAAAUACAUGCUGACAUUGCUACGACUUAGAAGAAAUUCCGACGAUUUCGAUAAACAUUAACCCACCUCAAACGCUCGUCCAACACCGGCUAGAAGUCGAUAGGAGAAACCCCGCGCU